rnacentral:rRNA from 1 species
UUCUGGGAGGGUUGACAGAUCCAGAGCUCUUUCUUGAUUCUGUGGAUUUCGGUGCAUGUCCGUUCUUAGUUGUUAAAGUGGUUUGUCUGGUUAAUUCCGAUAACAAACGAGACUCUAGUCAAUCAAAUACGUGCGUGGUCCUCUUCACCUUGCACCCUUCUUAGAAGGAGAAGCGGCUCCUAUACUUCGUCUCUCCUUAUUAUAUAUAUAUAUGGACUACUGUUAGCCGCGCGUGCUCAAAGCGCGAGCUAGUCGCUUGGAAUGAAGUCACGGCGGCUACACGAGCGCUCGUGCAGCGAGUGCUCUAGUCAAGGCAGUCAAGGCUGGCCGCUCGCGCUAACACAGCCUUCGCGGUUAGUUAAUGCUAGGGUGAGACGAAGUAUAGCUAUAGCCGCACGAAACAGAGCAAUAGAAGGUCCGUGAUUCCCUUAGAU